GGGAAGGAAGCGCCGCCCGCCCCUGCACCAGCGCGGCGGGCAGCGGCGGAGCGGAGCCCGGCGGAGCCGACAGCCCGGCCCGGGCGCCGCCGACCCCCGUCGCCCCUGUCGGCCUCCUCUCGGCAGGAUGGAGGAGAGACCGGUGUGAAAAUCUGUUCCAUGGUGGACUUUGCUGUGGUCUGCUAGAAUGUUCCUUAUGGAUGCUCCUCCUCUGGUAGCUCUUCAGACAAAAUGGGAGUCCUUUGGGCCAGCAAGGAAUUGUAGAUACCCUGUUUGCUUCCCUGAAUCCGACAGCAACGUCACCAGAACCUCCGUGAGCGCCAAAGUUCAGAUGAUCAUAAACAACCUGCAAAGCCAAGAGCCUGCCCUGGGUAUGAACAAUGACUGUGGCUGUGUGGUGCAGAAGAAACAGAAGGGAGAAAAAGGCACCAGUUCCAGAGUCACAUCCGGCACCACGCUGCUGCGGAAGCAUCCUCAGUACACCCCGUGUGGGUGCCCUGAGGAUUCUGAUGGCAGCGAAGUGGAAGGGAAUGUAGAGUUUGGGACUCUGCUGCUCGAUUCUGACAGCGACGAUUCUGUGGACCGAGGUAUAGAGGAAGCCAUCCAAGAGUACUUGAAAACAAAAAGCAAAAGUGCCCAGUCAUUGCCAAGGAAUGCAGAGCGUUCUGAGAAUGUGAGCAGAGACAAAAGGUUUAAGAGAGAGUUCUCCCAGAACAAAGUGACUAGUAACCUCCUCCCUGUGAAAUUUAAAGCUGAGAUGCUCUCCGAAGAGUACCUGUCUGACCACCUGGCAAUUGGGAAAAGGCUCCAGCCUGCUUCCCCUCAGAGCAUCAGCAGCGAUGACUCCUUUGAACAGAGCAUACAAGCUGAAAUUGUGCAGUUCUUGAAUGAGAAGAAGCAGCAAGAAAUUAGUAAAUGUGUUACCGAGGAGGAUAAAAAAGAUUCCCGUGUGAGAUCUGUCCUGAAAUGCAACAAAGAAGCAACAAACAGAACAAACUGUGGUGCUGUAAAGGAAGGUUGUAAUGCACUGCUCCUGAGACACCAUCCCAAGCUGCAGAAAUCCAGCACCCAGUCCAAGUGUUUGCAGUCAAAAAUCCAAGCAGAGCCCAGUGAUUUCAGCCAGGUGAACCAAGCAUAUCUAGAAAUGGCCACUGCCAGCCAGCCCUGGCUCGUGGAGCAGGACGAGGGAAGUGGAGCUCAUUACUGGGAGCCAAGGGAAGCACUCAUCAAGGAGAGCAUGCACACAUCUGACUCAAGCAGUGAUGAUGGCAUCGAAGAAGCCAUUCAGCUUUACCAGCUGGAGAAAAUCAGGAAAGAGGCAGGUCAUGCAGCAAACUGCAUCCCUUUGCAGAGAGAACCAUUUGAUCCAAAGGGUAUGGCAGACAUUUCUGCCAGCCUGACAAUUAGCUCCACAAAAAGUGCCUCACCAGAAAUCCAUAAAAACCCUAUAAGCAACAAGAGAAAAGAAGUUAAUUCCAAGUCAACGGGAUUAGAGAGCACCAGCAAUGACUUUAAUAAGCUGUUUAAACCACUGAAAAAAGCCAGACAUUUUGCACUUCCAGAAAACAAGAUUACUGCUUGUGAGCUCACGUUGCAGGCCUCUUGCAGAGCAGACACAUCUGCAGAGCUCAUGUGUGCAGAAGCUAUCCUGGAUAUUUCCAAAACAAUCAUGCCAUCCCAAAUGGGAAGUGACAACAAAUCCCUCACUGCAGACUCCUUCUUUUCUCCCCAGCUUCUCUCGUCCUCCCGUUGUGAAAGUGACAGCAGCCUUGUGGACAGUGAUGACAGCAUAGAGCAAGAAAUCAGGGCUUUUUUGGCUCUGAAAGCACAGUCAGAAAACCUUGGAACAAAACCUCCCAGCCUGUCACGCUCCAUCCAGAUGCCUUCGCCUUCUGAUCCAAACAGCCUCACCGGGACCCUUGAGCCUGCUCUGCCUAAAACACUGAAAUUAUCCCUGAGUCGGAAAAGGAGACUUAAAAGGGAAGGCAGAACAGCAAAACAAGGGGGGUCAAAACUACCUGAGCAGCUGGAGACAGGACUUUUCCAGCCAGGUCACUAUUCCAAAUUCCCAGCGCUCCAAGAGGAGCGUGCCCUGAGCAACCCCACAGAACUCCGGGAUGCUCAGAGUAAUAAAGACCUGAGGCAGCAGCAGCUGAUGUCUCCCAAACUGUCUGGCUCUGAUGGCAGCAGAUGUGUGCCCUUGGACUCUGUAAACCCUUUCCUGCAGGUUCAGAGUAGCACAAAAAAACCUGUAAAAAACCCCAUCCAGACCCCAGAGAGGGAGGGGUCAGGUGAUGAGAGCAGCUCUCUGGACAGUGAUGAGGACCUGGAUAGUGCCAUCAAGGACCUGUUACAGUCUAAAAGGAAGUUAAAGAAGAAAUCCAAGGACCAAAAAUCUCAGUGCAAGAAGAAAGUCAGGUUCAGUGAGACAGAAACUCAGCUGCUGGAUGAGUUCAGUAGCCUCCAACAAAACGAGUGGAAAUGUAAAAAUCCCUCACUGCUAAAAAGCUGCCUCUCAAAACCUAGGAAAGCUGUGAGGGAGAAUGCAGUCAGGAACCCUCCAGACAACAUCAGACUUCCCAAUGACAAGCCAGAAACCAUGAAAAACCUGGAGUCUAACUUACAGCUUAAAAAAGGCAAUAAACCUAAACCAGUUUCAAACCAAUGGGGGGCUAAAAAUAGAAAAUGUGCUAUCCCAGCUGUGUCAGAUGCCAGUGACAGCAGCUCAGUGGACAGUGAUGACAGCAUCGAGCAGGAAAUCAGGAGGUUUUUGGCAGAAAAGGCCAAAGACUCUGCAAGCAAUUCAGAGAUGCAAAAAGGUGAUGCAAGUCUGGACCUACUUAGAGCGACCAAACAAAGUGGUAAUAAAGGAAAAGCAAAGCAGCAGCCGGUGGAAAAUGAGAUUGACUUCGUGCUGGGUCAGAGUAAAAAGACUGAGGUAGCUCAGCAAACUGAGGAGGUGAAGAGCUCUCAGAGAACAGAAGGGAAAAGUGCAAUGUUAGCUGGCAGUGGAAAAUGUGCUUCCUCUGCAGAGAAUGUUCCUACUACUGGUCAGUCAAAAGCUAAGCAAGGACUGGGGGGGGUCAGAGGUGGUGCUGCUGAGGAGUUACCUGGGAAUGCAACAGGUAAAAGGAAUGUCUGUAACACUGAGCCCCCAAAACCUAGCAGAAAUGAAGGGUGUAAAGUGAGAAAAGUCAUGAAUGCAAAGCCCAGAUCUAAAAGGAAGAAUACCUUCCAGCUAAAAAUCUCAAGCAAAUUUAUUGCAGGUCUGAAAUACGCCCGGGACAGGAAGAAAUUGAUGCUUUUGAACAAAAAGCAGAAAGCAGAGUGUGUGCUCAGCCAGAGCAGUGCCUUGGGAAUGGAGACAGCUUCCCAGGACACAGAUGUACUUAACCCCUUGCCAAAAGGGGAAAUUACACCAGCAAUAAAAGAACCCAGUUCUUCUCAGAAUCUCAUUGUGGGAGGGGUGAGUCCCCAUGUAGCAGAAGCCUGUGCAGGAGCUGGGUUUCUCCAAGAAGCAGCUGAGGGUUGCAGGAAGGCUGAUGCUUCAGGGGAUCAGUCCCACGCCAUCCUUCCCUCACAGGAACGGAGUGUGGCAGCAGGAAAAGCUGAUAAGGUUUGCAGAGGAACCUCCAGAGCUGAGAACACCCAGAUGUGGAUCAAGGAAGGAGAUACCCACCAAGGCAGCUGGGCUGAUUCCACUGCAGAUCCCCCACACCCUGAGUGCAGUGUGGGGAAAGCAGAUAAAGUCAGCAGAGAGCCAGCUCAGCAGAGUGCUCAGGUGGACACUAAGGGAGGGAAUAACCAGCUGGACAAGAGGCCAGAUCCAAGUUUAGCUUGCCCAAGGCACGAAUUCAAUGUGACAGCAGCAGCAGUGCAUAUUAGUGGAGGAGCAUGUGCAGAUAAGAGUGUGCAGAUGUGCAUUAAGGAAGAAAAAGUUGACAGGCAGGGAGAAAUUCAGGUAUCCAGCUCCAAAAUGGAAGGAAAAAUACCUGUCCUGCAGAACAGGGAAGCUGCUAGUGAAGUACACCAAGGGCAGGAGUUUUUAACCAAAACCUGUGCAAAAUUUACUGACCUACCUGCAGGGGACUGCCCAGGUUCCCUCUUGGAAAAAAAGGUUUCAAAGAUGUAAGUAUUUUUUUUUUUUUUUUUACAACAGCAGUCUUUUUAUAAAAUAACUAUGAUUGUAAUUACCUUGAUAAAGCUUGAGAGAGGAAAGGAGAGGCAGUGGAAGAUGCUGAUACCUGUAUAUCAUACACAUUAAUGUGAAAAUAAUUCUGUUUAACAGGGAUAUCACAGAUAGGCAUUCGUAGCUUUUGUAGAAUUUUGUAAAUUAUUUAAAGUGCUCUAAGGAAAUAUUUUUUAUAAUGAUUUUUAGGGCUUGCAUUCCUACAGGAUGCUGUAGUUUCUGUAGAUAAGAUAUUGGCUAAUCACACUUUAAAUUAUGAGGCCUCUAAUUGUCUCUCAAAGGGAAACCUGUUUGCGCACAGAAUUUAUUUGGGAACCUGUUCAGAGAUCCAAGGAAAGCACAGCCUUGGAUAGCAAUACAGAUGUGACACUGGCCACAUCCCAGCUGCCUCAGGACAAUCCUGUGGGGUGGGGUUUGCUGGAGCUCAGUUUUCCCACCCUGAGGACUGUGGGAUGAGGUCCCUGAGCAGAGCUCAGCUGUGGGUGUGGAGAUCCAGCCUGGAAGACACAAAUGCAAAUUCAGGUAAAUCAAGUGGACGGCUCUGUCUGUACCUCCUGUGCAAAGUGAUCUCAGCAGCUGCUCAAAGUCCUUUUACAUACCCAGAACCUCCUGCUAGCAGAUGAUUCCAAGCACAAUUGCAGUCCAAGACAAGUGAAGGAGUGUGUCUGUUCAGACAACAUGAUUUCCCUGGAUUUCCCUGGAUUUCUCUGGAUUUCUGUACUGUCGGACCUGCAGGGCUCAAACAAUUCCUGUUAUUCUCAGCUCUCUCCUUUUGAUGCCCUGCAGUUACCCAGAGAUGGCUUUUGGUUUCCUGAAUGAACUUUCUGGAACUGAGUGCCCUUAACUUUCCUUUUUCAGAAGUGAUUUUUAAAAUGUUACAUUUCUGUGAACUUUUCACUGACAAUUUUGGUGCAAUAAAGCAAAGCUGGGUUUGCUGUAGGAAGUCACAACACAAACGGAUUUUUUCAGCCACGGAUAUUUUCAGCACUGUUCUUUCUUCAGGCUCUUUCUCUGCCUCCGUUUCCAGCAGCCAGAAUAAAGCAAUUUUUCACUACUAUCUUUUUAUUUGUACUGACUUUCAACGGGAUUGAAGUAGCACAUUCACAUCACACACACAAAAAAGUGCCCCCACACUGGUUUCUCUGCAAAUUCAAAAGGUGUAAAUUGGAGCUGUUGGCUCUUUCAUUUUCAUUUUUGUGUUGUGAAGUCCUUGGAGGAGUUUGUUCUCACAUCUUGUCCCUGUGAAUUGAUCUGAUAUUCUCUUUGUCUGCUCUUCUGCAGAACUUCUCAGCCAAACCACCACUUAGCAUCACUUUGUUUCUCAGUCACUUCAGGAGUCUUCCUCCAGGCUGGCCUUAAACUUGCAAAACGGAGCAAAAGCAGCCAAGACUGGAUCCAGAAUCCCGUGGUGUCCCUGGUGUGAUGCAGAAUGUGGGCAAAAUACAGUGUAGCAUAGAGUAGUGACUGUGGCAUGUAGAGAAAUAAACAUCCUUGGUGUGUUCAUGCUGUCGUGCAGCUACGUUUGAAACAUGUUCCUAGUGCUCACUUGGCAUUUCUGACUGUCCAGCCACCUUUCUGUAGCCCUGGGGUUGGUUGGCCGGGUUGUUUAAAGGUCAGUGUGUUAACUCAUCUCCAUUUUGUGGUAGGAUACCUUGGAAAAGUGGUUUUUCCUUAGCUCAGUGCCUGCACUCCCUCUUCACAGGUUUAUCUUUUGCUCUGCCUUGAUUCCGUUGCAGGAUUUGAGCCUUUUGUUUGGAAUAGGUCAAUAGGCUGGUAUUUUAAACUAGAAGUUUUCCAAGUACCUUGCUUUAAAAGGAUUAAUCUGUAUACUUAAUUUUCCUAGAGAUGUUGGAAGCACUCUGUACUGUUUGUAUAAAAAGCUGAAUGUUUCUUCUCAAAAGUUUUCAGUAAAUGCACAUUAAGACUUCAAAGGUGUCUCGUGCCCCUGUUGCUGUGUCUGUGUCCUCAGUACCGCUCGUGACCUGAUCCACUCCCAGUUAAAAUGCAAUUCCAGUUACCUUGUGCUUUAAAUAAAACCUGAUUUCAAACAGCACUUUUUUAAUUUUAAUUGAUGAACUUGAUUUGUAUAUAGGAACUGGUGUACAUUGCUGAGUUUCUAAUGUUUAAUAAAUGGGGUUCUGCCCGUGGACCAUGCAACUGGAGUGUUCCAAUGGUUUGUGUCAUCAUCUUGAGAGAAGAAAGGGAAGUUCUAAAGAAGCUCCAGGUAUUGUCUAGAGUCUGAUACGAGGAUCCCAGCAAACGGAAGAGGGUUGCUUAUUUAUUUUCAGAUG